UUUUACGGAGAGUUUGAUCCUGGCUCAGGACGAACGCUGGCGGCGUGCUUAACACAUGCAAGUCGAACGAUGAUGCCCAGCUUGCUGGGUGGAUUAGUGGCGAACGGGUGAGUAACACGUGAGUAACCUGCCCCUGACUCUGGGAUAAGCGUUGGAAACGACGUCUAAUACUGGAUAUGAUCACCGGCCGCAUGGUCUGGUGGUGGAAAGAUUUUUUGGUUGGGGAUGGACUCGCGGCCUAUCAGCUUGUUGGUGAGGUA
rnacentral:rRNA from 1 species